CCUACGGGGGGCAGCAGUGGGGAAUAUUGGACAAUGGGGGGAACCCUGAUCCAGCCAUGCCGCGUGUGUGAAGAAGGCCCUCGGGUUGUAAAGCACUUUCAGUGAGGAAGAACGCCUGGUGGUUAAUACCCAUCAGGAAAGACAUCACUCACAGAAGAAGCACCGGCUAACUCCGUGCCAGCAGCCGCGGUAAUACGGAGGGUGCGAGCGUUAAUCGGAAUUACUGGGCGUAAAGCGCGCGUAGGUGGCUUGAUAAGCCGGUUGUGAAAGCCCCGGGCUCAACCUGGGAACGGCAUCCGGAACUGUCAAGCUAGAGUGCAGGAGAGGAAGGUAGAAUUCCCGGUGUAGCGGUGAAAUGCGUAGAGAUCGGGAGGAAUACCAGUGGCGAAGGCGGCCUUCUGGACUGAAACUGACACUGAGGUGCGAAAGCGUGGGUAGCAAACAGGAUUAGAUACCCCGGUAGUC
rnacentral:rRNA from 1 species